rnacentral:rRNA from 1 species
CUGGUUGAUCCUGCCAGACCCGACUGCUAUCGGAUUGGGACUAAGCCAUGCGAGUCAACUCCGCAAGGGGUGGCGCACGGCUCAGUAACACGUAGUCAACCUACCCUGGGGACGGGGAUAACCUCGGGAAACUGAGGCUAAACCCCGAUGGGCCAUGGCUCCUGGAAUGGGCUAUGGCUGAAAUCUACAUGGCCCCAGGAUGGGACUGCGGCCGAUCAGGUUGUUGGUGGGGUAAUGGCCCACCAAGCCUAUAACCGGUGCGGGCUCUGAGAGGAGGAGCCCGGAGAUAGGCACUGAGACAAGGGCCCAGGUCCUAUGGGGCGCGGCAGGCGCGAAACCUCCGCAAUGGGCGAAAGCCCGACGGGGUCAGUCCGAGUGGUUCCCGCUGAGGGAACCUUUUGCCAGCUGUAAACAGGCUGGCGAAUAAGGGGUGGGCAAGUUUGGUGUCAGCCGCCGCGGUAAUACCAGCACCCCGAGUGGUCGGGACGAUUAUUGGGCCUAAAGCAUCCGUAGCCGGCCCAGUAAGUCCUCCGUUAAAUCCAACGGCUCAACCGUUGGGCUGCGGGGGAUACUGCUGGGCUAGGGGACGGGAGAGGCGAGGGGUAUUCCCGGGGUAGGGGUAAAAUCCACUGAUCCCGGGAGGACCACCAGUGGCGAAGGCGCCUCGCUAGAACGUGCCCGACGGUGAGGGAUGAAAGCUGGGGGAGCGAACCGGAUUAGAUACCCGGGUAGUCCCAGCCGUAAACGAUGUAGGCUCGGUGUUGGGCUGCCUCAGUGGCAGCCCAGUGCCGCAGGGAAGCCGUUAAGCCUACCGCCUGGGGAGUACGGCCGCAAGGCUGAAACUUAAAGGAAUUGGCGGGGGAGCACCAC